rnacentral:rRNA from 1 species
UACAGAGGUCCCGAGCGUUGUUCGGAUUCACUGGGCGUAAAGGGUGCGUAGGUGGUGAGGUAAGUCGGAUGUGAAAUCUCCGGGCUCAACCCGGAAAUGGCAUUGGAAACUACCUUGCUGGAGGAUUUGAGGGGGGAUUGGAAUACUUGGUGUAGCAGUGUAAUGCGUAGAUAUCAAGUGGAACACCAGUGGCGAAGGCGAAUCCCUGGAAAAUACCUGACACUGAGGCACGAAAGCUAGGGGAGCAAACAGG